rnacentral:lncRNA from 1 species
CAGUGUUUUUGAAAAGUCCUGUGGCUGCGGUCCUCUACAGUUAUCUUCAGUCCUUCUUCAGUGCUGUGACUGAGUGCUUGCUGAUUAUUGUGCUUGCUGAUCCUGACUAAUACUCUCUCUUGAUGAGCUUCAUAUUCAUCACGACUUGGAUAAAUUUUGCUGAUGAGUGCAUCAAACUUUGGGUCUGGCCUUGGUGAUCUUUUGGAAACCAGUUUUUUCCAACAGGUAAGAUAUUCUUUGUUGCCACUUCUAAGGGCUAUGAUGUUG